rnacentral:tRNA from 1 species
GAGUAUCUAGUUUAAUUACCAUAAAACACUAGAAUGUCAAACUAGAAAUACCUUAGAGAAGUGAUCCUCU